AUACGGAGGAUGCGAGCGUUAUCCGGAUUUAUUGGGUUUAAAGGGUGCGCAGGCGGGCGAUUAAGUCAGCGGUGAAAGGCUCGGGCUCAACCGGAGCAGUGCCGUUGAUACUGGUUGUCUUGAAUGCGGUCAAGGCCGGCGGAAUGUGGCGUGUAGCGGUGAAAUGCAUAGAUAUGCCACAGAACACCGAUAGCGAAGGCAGCUGGCCGGGCCUGCAUUGACGCUGAGGCACGAAAGCGUGGGGAUCGAACAGGAUUAGAUACCCUGGUAGUCCACGCUGUAAACGAUGGACACUCGUUGUCGGCGACAGACAGUCGGCGGCCAAGCGAAAGUGAUAAGUUAUCCACCUGGGGAGUACGACCGCAAGGUUGAAACUCAAAUGAAUUGACGGGG
rnacentral:rRNA from 1 species